AUUUAACAACUGUGGAUAAAUGCAACAUCAAACCAGGGUGUAAAUAAAUCUAGGUAAUUAAUUCUUUUUUAAAAAAAAUCCCAGUGUUUUAUUCUUCCCUUCAAAAACAGGAGCUGAGAAAACUUUCUGCAUUUUCUUGGGAGAUAAAACAGAUUCCCACUCAAGUCCUCUUGAGCAACGAGAAGCACAUUUAUCGCUAGCUAUGAUGUUGCAGUUAUUAACUAACUGGUACCUGGGCUGGUUCAAAACAUUUUGCCGCCUGAGGCCAAGGACUUAGAUGGCGUCUCCUGCCUGCUCAGAAGCCCGCUGGAAUAAAAGGUGCCUCUUAUUUCAAUAGCUGUGAAGAGAUACUGUCUUCCACCACAUCGGAAGCCAACUGGACAGGAGAUUAACUCUUAUUUCAACACUCAUGAUCAGGUAAGUCGUCUUCUGUAGCAGCAAAGCUAGUUUAGGAUGGCCAGGACAUAUAGUGUAGUGUACACCACUCUGUCCCCCAACAGUAGGACUGGUCUGGGGGUGGAGGGUGCUUAGGAGGAGCAGUCAGACGACUGGCACUGCUUCACCCCCAACCCAAUAUCUGCCACCUUGGUCUCAUGGUAGGGCCAGCCUCACCUCGUUUGCCUAGCUCUGAAUGCUCAGCUCUAUUGCACGUCAAAUGCCAUUUCCCCCAAUACAUGGGGCUACCUUUGAAGGUGACCCGGAAACUGCAAUUAAUCCAGAAUGCGGCAGCUAGACUGGUGACUGGGAGCGGCCGCCAGGACCACAUAACACCGGUCCUGAGAGAUCUGCAUUGACUCCCAGUAUGUUUCCAAGCACAAUUCAAAGUGUUGGUGCUGA